CCGCUGUAAUACGGAGGGGGCUAGCGUUGUUCGGAAUUACUGGGCGUAAAGCGUACGUAGGCGGUGAUUCAAGUCAGAGGUGAAAGCCCGGAGCUCAACUUCGGAAUAGCCUUUGAAACUAGAUCGCUUGAACGUCGGAGAGGUGAGUGGAAUUCCGAGUGUAGAGGUGAAAUUCGUAGAUAUUCGGAAGAACACCAGUGGCGAAGGCGGCUCACUGGACGACUGUUGACGCUGAGGUACGAAAGCGUGGGGAGCAAACAGG
rnacentral:rRNA from 1 species